AGAGUUUGAUCAUGGCUCAGAUUGAACGCUGGCGGCAGGCCUAACACAUGCAAGUCGAACGGUAACAGGAAACAGCUUGCUGUUUCGCUGACGAGUGGCGGACGGGUGAGUAAUGUCUGGGAAACUGCCUGAUGGAGGGGGAUAACUACUGGAAACGGUAGCUAAUACCGCAUAACGUCGCAAGACCAAAGAGGGGGACCUUAGGGCCUCUUGCCAUCGGAUGUGCCCAGAUGGGAUUAGCUAGUAGGUGGGGUAAAGGCUCACCUAGGCGACGAUCCCUAGCUGGUCUGAGAGGAUGACCAGCCACACUGGAACUGAGACACGGUCCAGACUCCUACGGGAGGCAGCAGUGGGGAAUAUUGCACAAUGGGCGCAAGCCUGAUGCAGCCAUGCCGCGUGUAUGAAGAAGGCCUUCGGGUUGUAAAGUACUUUCAGCGGGGAGGAAGGGAGUAAAGUUAAUACCUUUGCUCAUUGACGUUACCCGCAGAAGAAGCACCGGCUAACUCCGUGCCAGCAGCCGCGGUAAUACGGAGGGUGCAAGCGUUAAUCGGAAUUACUGGGCGUAAAGCGCACGCAGGCGGUUUGUUAAGUCAGAUGUGAAAUCCCCGGGCUCAACCUGGGAACUGCAUCUGAUACUGGCAAGCUUGAGUCUCGUAGAGGGGGGUAGAAUUCCAGGUGUAGCGGUGAAAUGCGUAGAGAUCUGGAGGAAUACCGGUGGCGAAGGCGGCCCCCUGGACGAAGACUGACGCUCAGGUGCGAAAGCGUGGGGAGCAAACAGGAUUAGAUACCCUGGUAGUCCACGCCGUAAACGAUGUCGACUUGGAGGUUGUGCCCUUGAGGCGUGGCUUCCGGAGCUAACGCGUUAAGUCGACCGCCUGGGGAGUACGGCCGCAAGGUUAAAACUCAAAUGAAUUGACGGGGGCCCGCACAAGCGGUGGAGCAUGUGGUUUAAUUCGAUGCAACGCGAAGAACCUUACCUGGUCUUGACAUCCACGGAAGUUUUCAGAGAUGAGAAUGUGCCUUCGGGAACCGUGAGACAGGUGCUGCAUGGCUGUCGUCAGCUCGUGUUGUGAAAUGUUGGGUUAAGUCCCGCAACGAGCGCAACCCUUAUCCUUUGUUGCCAGCGGUCCGGCCGGGAACUCAAAGGAGACUGCCAGUGAUAAACUGGAGGAAGGUGGGGAUGACGUCAAGUCAUCAUGGCCCUUACGACCAGGGCUACACACGUGCUACAAUGGCGCAUACAAAGAGAAGCGACCUCGCGAGAGCAAGCGGACCUCAUAAAGUGCGUCGUAGUCCGGAUUGGAGUCUGCAACUCGACUCCAUGAAGUCGGAAUCGCUAGUAAUCGUGGAUCAGAAUGCCACGGUGAAUACGUUCCCGGGCCUUGUACACACCGCCCGUCACACCAUGGGAGUGGGUUGCAAAAGAAGUAGGUAGCUUAACCUUCGGGAGGGCGCUUACCACUUUGUGAUUCAUGACUGGGGUGAAGUCGUAACAAGGUAACCGUAGGGGAACCUGCGGUUG
rnacentral:rRNA from 3 species